rnacentral:rRNA from 1 species
UACGUAGGGUGCAAGCGUUGUCCGGAAUUAUUGGGCGUAAAGAGCUCGUAGGCGGUCUGUCGCGUCGAAUGUGAAAACCCGGGGCUCAACCCCGGGCCUGCAUUCGAUACGGGCAGACUAGAGUUCGGUAGGGGAGUCUGGAAUUCCUGGUGUAGCGGUGAAAUGCGCAGAUAUCAGGAGGAACACCGGUGGCGAAGGCGGGGUCUCUGGGCAGUAACUGACGCUGAGGAGCGAAAGCGUGGGGGAGCGAACAGG